GUAAGGAAUAUUGGUCAAUGGAGGCAACUCUGAACCAGCCAUGCCGCGUGCAGGAUGACGGCCCUCUGGGUUGUAAACUGCUUUUAUUCGGGAAUAAACCUACUUACGUGUAAGUAGCUGAAUGUACCGAAGGAAUAAGGAUCGGCUAACUCCGUGCCAGCAGCCGCGGUAAUACGGAGGAUCCAAGCGUUAUCCGGAUUUAUUGGGUUUAAAGGGUGCGUAGGCGGCCUAUUAAGUCAGGGGUGAAAGACGGUAGCUCAACUAUCGCAGUGCCUUUGAUACUGAUGGGCUUGAAUACACUAGAGGUAGGCGGAAUGUGACAAGUAGCGGUGAAAUGCAUAGAUAUGUCACAGAACACCGAUUGCGAAGGCAGCUUACUAUGGUGUGAUUGACGCUGAGGCACGAAAGCGUGGGGAUCAAACAGGAUUAGAAACCCCUGUAGUCC
rnacentral:rRNA from 1 species